GCUGGCGGCGUGCCUAACACAUGCAAGUCGAACGAGAAAGUGGAGCAAUCCAUGAGUAAAGUGGCGACCGGGUGAGUAACACGUGACUAACCUACCUUCGAGUGGGGGAUAACCUAGGGAAACCUGGGCUAAUACCGCAUAACAUCUUUGGAUCGGAAGAACUGAAGAUCAAAGGAGCAAUUCGCUUGAAGAGGGGGUCGCGGCUGAUUAGCUAGUUGGCGGGGUAAUGGCCCACCAAGGCUUUGAUCGGUAGCCGGCCUGAGAGGGCGCACGGCCACACUGGAACUGAAACACGGUCCAGACUCCUACGGGAGGCAGCAGUGGGGAAUUUUGCGCAAUGGGGGAAACCCUGACGCAGCAACGCCGCGUGGAGGAUGAAGUCCCUUGGGACGUAAACUCCUUUCGACCGGGACGAUUAUGACGGUACCGGUGGAAGAAGCCCCGGCUAACUUCGUGCCAGCAGCCGCGGUAAUACGAGGGGGGCAAGCGUUGUUCGGAAUUAUUGGGCGUAAAGGGCGCGUAGGCGGUGCGGUAAGUCACCUGUGAAAUCUCCGGGC
rnacentral:rRNA from 1 species